GGAAAAACAUGGCUACCAGUCUGUUCUACUGCUCGGUGCUAUUUUUGCUUUUCCUCCUACACUCUGUCUCCCUGAUCCUCACAUUUUUAAGCUGUAGCCAAAAAGCAGCCUGACAAUAGGGCUGCAGUUAUCAGGCAGAAAGAGAUAGUCAGCAAUUGUUCAGGGAUAGCCAGCAAAAUUAAUGCCAGGCAGUGCAGUUGGUUGCACUAAAGAUUAUGUGCGUUGCCAAACAGCAAAGAAAAACAAUAAAAGCUCUUUAAGGGCUGUUUUCUGUUCUACUGAAUUGGGAAUUUAACCAUGCUGGAAAUUAGUAGAGAAGCCUUGCACCUGCGCUGGGGGAAUGGCAGGAGCUUUCUACCCACUUUGUUUGGCAGGAUCUUGUUGGAAAUAGGAGUGCCUACAUUCCAGCACUGACCUACUAGGAUUCUCAACAUGCAGUAAUGAAAGCAUAUGUCAAAGGGCUCCAAAUUAAUUAUACCUACAAGUUUAACCUCUGCCUGAAGCUAGCAUUCAAGCUUCCUAUAAGGAUUACAAGUAAAGAUACUUCUAGGGAAAUAUAGGGGUAGUGAUAGGAAAUCUGAAUUCUGCUCCUUUCUCUCAGUCUCUUGCUCACUAAGGGACUUUAUUGGAGCUGCUAAGAAAGUGCCCAAAGCAAUGUCACCAGCAGCAAUGGCACCUGCUCUGCUGAGCUUCUGAAACCAGCAGUCGGCUGGUCUGUAUGCUCCUCCGCUACUAAGGAAGCAGAGGUUUGUCAGCAAACUGAUCCCAUGGCUUUUAAAGCAUGAAUGUGAGAAUGAACUUAAAAAACCCUCUAAACCAUCUACUGUAUUCAUCAAUUGAUGGGUAGCCCACAAUACCUUUGAUGUACCUUAUACUGCUAGUAAAACAUAAAUUUACUUCCAUUUGUGUCCUUUCUGUAUUUGCAACAUCCUUAAUUUCUCUUAAUUUCUCAUCACAAAUAUGUCAUCAUAAUCUUUGGGGACAACUGUACUUCUUGUUUGUCAAAAACACAGGUGUCAGAACUGCCCAGCCUGGCAGCCCUUGUCAAAACAGUCCUGGGUCUCUGUAAACACAUUCCAGUCCAACACAGAGGGGUGCGGCAAGACUAUCACCUUUUACCCAAUUAGUAAACACAACUGAUUUGUGCGGCAAAGAGACUCUUAGCUCUAUUGUGCCAGCUAAUAAGUUUCUCUUAAACAGGUCCCUCAGGAGGGACCAGUUCUAACCUACGUACACCAAUAUCUGUAACAGAAACCUUUGCAUAAUCAACACAAGCUGCAUCUCAGCAUGCUUCUCAAAACCUUUUAUUCUUCAAAAUGCAGAGUAUGCUUGCGGAAUAAAAAAUACUCCUGUUUUCCAAGAUUGUAUCAAUAGCAUUAAUAAAAAUAAGCUGAUUAGGUAACACAGAGGAUCCAACCCACAGCCUUCCUCUAGUGCAGAAUGGCAGUGCGACAUGUUGGAGCUGGCCUUAGGUCUGAAUAGUAUAUGCUCAAUUUUUUUCCAUUCUCCUGGAAGUGGUACAUUAUUAUAGCGAUAGCUGUUUUACCCUGCUGCCUUUGCCUUGCUAUUUCCUCAAGUCUGUUGAGGAUAAUACAAGUUUCCCUUUCCUGGCUAACCUUCAAGGAAAUCUCAGCAAAAUCUUGACAUUUUAGUGCUUCUCAGAUUCAGCAUGCAUCCUGGCCAACCAAGCAAGCAAGUCAUUUAGAAGCCAUUGCCACAUUGCCAUCUUCCUUCUCAAUACCAGGGGAGAGGAAGGGGAAGGACAAAGAGAUCCAUUCUUAUGACAGGGCUUGAGUCUGCAGAGCAACCUGGCCAGCAGUUGAGAUCCUCAGUGAUUGCAUUGAGCACUGGACACUCCUGCAAGGGCAGCAGCAUUUGGAAGAGAAGCUCCACCUUCUCUCAUGAAAGGGGGCUCAGCCCUGCAUUUGAUGGAAGAUGCAGUCAGGAUAGAAAAUUGGAACUGUAGUUUUUGUUUUGAAUGCCUGAAACACUCUCUAACACUUGAUUUUCUGAUGUUCGUGUGGCAUUCAGCAAUGAAGAAUCUCUUAUCCUAGGUGUCAUCUUAAUAGCUAUGAUUGUUUUGAAGCCCAUCCUGUAAAAGCAAAACCAUCCCACCCUAUCAUCUGUAGUUUGUGCAGUGAUCAGAGAGCACAUGAGACUCCACAUGGAUUUAGCUGGGAAGGACCUCAUCCUAACAGUCUCACCAAGGAAAUAUCUUAUUAGCACAGCCAAGGGAAACCUCAUACACGUUCAUCCUGCUGUUCAUCCAGAAGUUCAUCCAUCCCAAGCGGGACAGCAGAAACCAGAGACUGAAGACACAUUUAUAUUCAGAGAGGAGAGACACCUUUUGGCAGAGAAACCCAAAUAAUCAAGAGAUCUGUCAAGUCUUCUCUAUUGAUUUUCUCUUUGAAGACAAAUAGCAUGCUUUUAUCUUCAUACACAGAAUAUUCUUCUGUGAAACUUCAGCCCAUGGGAGACACUGACAGUCUCUGAAAAACAACCAAAUGGCCAGGAGGCCAACUUUAAUCAUUUGUAGCUAACACACUGUGCAACAUAGAGAGGCUGGGGAGAACAAUUCUAUGUAGGAAGUCAAAAGUACUGUAUUCCUUACAAUUACCAACCUUCAAAGGAAAGACAGGCUUUGGUGGUAUAAAAAAUAAUGGUGCUGUAGUUAUACCAUAUUUGCUGCAUCCUGUGUGAAUUAUUUUCAUUCAAGUAUGAACUGUGUUGGAGGCUUUUUAAUUUACAUUAUGCCUCUGAAUGCAUUUCUAUAGCUCCUUUUGAGGAGAACUUGGGGGUUUAAACAAAUUGAAUAUUGUUCUCUUUCAUGUAGAUCAUCCGGAUCCAGUCAAUGACUCAGUUUUUUAUAGCCCUUUUAAAAUUUCAUUUUAUUUUUAGAGUGCAGAACUUUUUUUUUAGUUUGUUGGAUCCUGUUCUUUUGCAGAAAAACAUUUUUUGAGAAAUCACAAGUGGUUUCAUGUAAACACUCAGGAAGGACCAGAGACUGGAAAAGCUGUAGAGGCCAUAGGAAAAUCUGAGGCUGGAGCAAAGCACUAUAGUAUGAUGCAACGUAUUACAGCAGAUAUCAGAUUAAGUGAAAUUGCUACUUGCUGUUCAACAUAUUUCAAGCCUUUGCCACGCUUGUUACAUUGGGAAGGGAUGGGGGCAGCCAGGAGCUGUGUUUGCUGCACAACACAGCAGUGACAGUAUGAUCCAAAGGAAAGAAUUUGCUAUGCUCAGCUGUGACAGAGCAAUGCUGCUGCUUUCCUGGGCACAGGGCAACCAUCUGCUGCCUCUCACAAAAUGCAAGCGCUCCAGCUCCAGACUUUAAAUUUCCAAACUCUCUGACUCUAAGGACAAGGAAAUACAGCCUGAAGCCUAACCCAGCUGAGGGUUUUCUCAUCUUGCACAGACAGUCCCAGACUAAGGACCACAUAGUAAGUCUCUGGGGAAGACAAGCUUGGUUUUCC